rnacentral:rRNA from 1 species
GUAGGAGGCAAGCGUUAUCCGGAAUGACCGUGCGUAAAGGGUGCGUAGGUGGUUUGGCAAGUUAGUAGCGUAACUCCGGAGCUCAACUUCGGAACUACUACUAAAACUGUCGGACUUGAGUGCAGGAGGGGCAACUGGAAUUCCUAGUGUAGCGGUGGAAUGCGUAGAUAUUAGGAGGAACACCAGUGGCGAAGGCGAGUUGCUGGACUGUAACUGACACUGAGGCACGAAAGCGUGGGGAGCAAA